AUUGAACGCUGGCGGCAUGCUUUACACAUGCAAGUCGAACGGUAACAGGCCGCAAGGUGCUGACGAGUGGCGAACGGGUGAGUAAUGCAUCGGAACGUGCCCAGUCGUGGGGGAUAACGCAGCGAAAGUUGCGCUAAUACCGCAUACGAUCUAUGGAUGAAAGCGGGGGACCGUAAGGCCUCGCGCGAUUGGAGCGGCCGAUGUCAGAUUAAGUAGUUGGUGGGGGAAAGGCUCACCAAGCCGACGAUCUGUAGCUGGUCUGAGAGGACGACCAGCCACACUGGGACUGAGACACGGCCCAGACUCCUACGGGAGGCAGCAGUGGGGAAUUUUGGACAAUGGGCGCAAGCCUGAUCCAGCAAUGCCGCGUGCAGGAAGAAGGCCUUCGGGUUGUAAACUGCUUUUGUACGGAACGAAACGGUCCUGGUUGAUACCCGGGGCUAAUGACGGUACCGUAAGAAUAAGCACCGGCUAACUACGUGCCAGCCGCCGCGGUAAUAC
rnacentral:rRNA from 1 species